rnacentral:tRNA from 1 species
CCGGCACCUGGAGGGGACCCGGUUCUCCAUCGGAGAGCCGGACGGCACUGUCUCGCAGCGGUGCCAGCGGUUCAGCGACGCGAUGGUGGCC